rnacentral:tRNA from 1 species
CAUUCCGAUAGCUUAAGUUUAAAAGAGCAUAGUGUUGAAGCCGCUAAGGAAGGCAGGGAGCCUUCGGAAU